GUUUUUUGCUAUUAGCAUUUUCAAGUUUAUCCACUGUUUCUUUUACAGGUUAACUACCCUGUAAAAUUACUUAAAAAAAAAGUGUUAAGGCAAUGUCAUCAACAUAGGCUGGCAUUUUAUGUGCAUCCUAAAAUGGAGGAUUCCUUUCCAUGUAAACAAGCCAAAAAAGAGUAAAUUGAGACAGAGGAGGAAUGAAGAGAGAGCAUCCUGAAAUAUGCAAAAAGGAAUCCCAAAUGCAAAUCCCCAGAGGAGGUGCAAAUGAGCAUGACUGACAUUACAGAAAACUUGGUCACGUGAACAAAUUUCAUAACUCUCCAAAAGUAUAGAGAAAAAGAUGAAGAAAAUAAUAUGAUAGAACAAACAAAAAGCAAAAACAACCUUUAAAUUAUAGGCAUGCCCCCUAACUUUCACAGAAUAAUGAAAGAAGUAAUAAUUAAAGAAAAUUCCUGGCCUAAACCAAAGAGCUAAGUUUAUUCACUGAUAAUAUUAAUUAUGUCUGUGUAAAAUUAAUGAAGACCUGGUAAUAAGAUACAUCUUUUAAAUGUUUAAAUUUCACAUAGAUUUGGAAGGGAGCAUGCUGAAGGAUCAUUAUUUACAAUUAUGUUAUUCAAAACCUAGAAUAUGCAGGAGAACAAACAGAAAAACUAUUGAUGAGUUAAGAAAACUGGUUAAUUAUAUAAUAUAUAGAAAUUAAUAUGAAUCAGUAAUGAUUCAUAUUAGAAAAUUAUAAAAUAAUGAAAAAAGAUCUCUUUCACAAUUGCAAUGCCACUACUACCACUAAUUUUAAAAGCGGUGAGAAAUAACUUAUGUGUGUAAUUGGAUUGUUUGUAAUUCAAGGAUAAAUGCUUGAGGGGAUGGAUACCCCAUUCUCCAUGAUGUGCUUAUUUCACAUUGCAUGCCUGUAUCGAGACAUCUCAUGUACCCCAUAAAUACGUACAUCUGCUAUGUGCCCACAAAAAUUUUUAAGAAAAAACAAUUUUUAAGUAGUAAAAUACAAGCUACCAAAUUUACAAGAACACACAGGACCUUUAAAAAGAAAACUACAAAACUCUCAUGGAGGACAUAAAGGAUUACUCAAAGAAAUGAUUCUUGGUCAGAUUCAUGUAAAGAUUCUCCCUUCAUAUGCUAGAAAUUCAAAGUUAUUUAUGUCAAAAUAAUAGGAAUUUUUAGAAACUUGACAACAUAUUUCUAAAGGUGUUUGUUUUUUUUGGUGGGGGAGGGGGAGGGAGGGGGAGAAAAAGGAAGCCAGAAAAAUUAAGAAAAGAAAAUGAGCUGGAACCAGUCCCAGCAGAUGUGAACAUUUUUUCCCAAGUUAGAGUUACUAAGGUGGACUCGUAUUAGCUCAAUGAUAACUAGAUUAGUGGAACAAAUCUAGUUGAGUCCAGGUAUGCUGCUUCCCUUUGCGGAUGGUAAAAAUGGCUUUUGAGUGGGGUGAGAGGUUAUUCAAUAAGAGAACUGGCUCCCCAUUUGGGAAAAAAAAUAAAGCUAAUAUUUGACUUCACUUCUAACAUCAAAAACUUUUAGAUGAGCCGGGUGCAAGUGGCUCACAUCUGUAAUUGCAGCACUUUGUGAGACUGAGGCGGGCGGAUCACCUGAGGUCAGGAGUUCGAGACCAGCCUGACCAACAUGGCGAAACCCCAUCUCUACUAAAAAUACAAAAAAAUUAGCUGGGCUUGGUGGUACAUGCCUGUAAUCCCAGCUACUCGGGAGGCUGAGGCACAAGAAUUGCUUGACUCCGGGAGGCAGAGGUUUCGGUGAGCCGAGAUUGUGCCACUGCACUCCAGUCUGGGUGACAGAGCCAAGACAUGGUAGAAUAUUUUUAUAAUCAUGAGGGAUGAAAAGCCUUACACCAUUACUCCAAAUCCCAAACUAUAAAAGAAUAAGCAAAAUAGGAAAAGUAGAAAAAGAUCUCCAAUAACAAAUAAAAAUAUUAACCUUAAAAAAUUAUCCAAACUAAUUAGUAAAUGCAAAACAUCCCACAAAAGAAAUGGCAUGAAUGGAUACAAGACUGAAUACAUAUAACCAGUGAAUUUAUGGAAGGAGUUGUUCAACCUCACUAGUAAUAGAGGAAAUGGCACUCAUGUACUAUGGGUAGGAGUAUAAAAUUGUUUCUGUUCUGGAGAGCAGAAAGGAAAUGUCGUUAAAUUUUAAAAUGUGGAUUUCCUUUGAUCCAUUAAUUCACUACAGAAAUUUAUCCUAAAGAGAUAGACAUAUCUGGAAAGAUGUGCCAAAAUCGUUUUCAUUGCAGCAUUGCUUAUUAUAGUACAAUAUUGGAAAUGACUUAAAUUUCCAUCAAUUGAAUGCUUAAAAUGCCAAUACAUCCAUACAGUGCAAUGCAAUGUAACUAUUAUAAUGACAAAGUAGACCCAUAGUUCUAGACAUGCGAAAAUGUUUAAGGCAUAGUAUUAAGAGGAUUAUUAAUAAGUUUAAAUAGCAGAUAUGGGAUGUAUGUAGUAUAAUUCUACUUCUAUAUAAUUCUUUUUGUGUAUGCAUUUCAAGAGAUGCCUAGUAGAUAGUUAUCAAAAUGAUUUGUCUUAGUGCUGGGAUUAUAAAUAUUUUCCCCAACACUUUUCAAACAUUUUCAAAUUUAUUAUUUUUAAUAAAAAGUUAUUUCUGACAAAUCAGUAGCUAAAGUCUAUUUAGGAAGGAUAAUUUAUUAAAUAAUAUUAACAAAAUCUAAAAACUUAACAUCAAAAAUAAAAAUAACCUACUUUGAAUUUCCAAAUAUGUAUAUAUUUAUAUUAUCUUGAAUCUUCUGUAAUUGUAUGUCUGUGCAUUCAGAUUAACAGUUGUCCCUCAGUAUACAUGAGGGAUUGAAUCCAGAACCCUCUGAGUACACCAAAAUCCUCACAUACUCAAGUCCCCCAGUCAUCCCUGGGGAACUUGGGUAUAUAAAAAGUCAGUUCUCCAUAUUUGUGGGUUUCACAUCCUGCAAAUACACCUGCCUUUGGUUGAACAAAAUCUGCAUAUAAGUGGACCCACACAUUUGUUCAGUGGUCAACUGUAUUUCUUACUUGUGCUAAUAACUUAAGAUUUAUUCUUAAAACAUGCUGAGUAAAAAAUUAUAGUGUG
rnacentral:lncRNA from 10 species